GAUAUGUGCCCGAAAAAUCAAGGAUCACUUUGAUAGAGUGAAAUAUAAGAGCCCGAACCUCUUCAUAUCU
rnacentral:tRNA from 1 species